GUCUUUUUGAUUAUAAUUUGAAGUCUAACCUGCCCACUGAAUUUUUUGAAGGGCCGCGGUAUUUUGACUGUGCAAAGGUAGCAUAAUCAUUAGUCUUUUAAUUGGAGGCUUGUAUGAAUGGUUGGAUGAGGUAUUAACUGUCUCAAUUUAAUAAAUAAUAGAAUUUUAUUUUUAAGUUAAAAAGCUUAAAUUUAAUUAAAAGACGAGAAGACCCUAUAGAUCUUUAUAAUUUAUUUUAUAAUAAUUUUUUAGAUAAAAUUUAUUUUUAUAUAAUUAAUUAUUUUAUUGGGGUGAUAAAAAAAUUUAUAAAACUUUUUUUUUGAAUAAACAAUGAUAUUUGAUUAAUUGAUCCAUUUUUUGUGAUUAUAAGAUUAAGUUACCUUAGGGAUAACAGCGUAAUUUUUUUGGAGAGUUCUUAUCGAUAAAAAAGAUUGCGACCUCGAUGUUGAAUUAAAGGUUAAUUUUAGGUGUAGAAGUUUAAAAUUUUGGUCUGUUCGACCAUUAAAUC
rnacentral:rRNA from 1 species